UCCUGAGUUCAAUUCCCAGCAACCACAUGGUGGCUCACAACCAUCUGUUGUAGAGAGCUGCGUGGCGCCGCGCCUUUAAGAUGGCUCCGGCUGCCACCCUCCGCGAGCCCGAAAGUGAGCGCUCUCUGUGACAAACAACUCCUUUUAUGGUUAUGGCCCAUAACUCGCUAUGAUCGUGUGUCGCUUGCAUAUGUUUGAGCCUAUGGGCAAUGUCCACGUGGCACUCCGGGAUAGGUGACCAUAGGCUAUAUAAGGGCUGGGAGAGGUCUGCCCAGGGAGAGAAAUGAGAGAGAAGCCAUUGUUCAAGGUCCUGAAUAAACUGCCUGCGAGAAGAGCUCCGGUGUCGCGUCAUCCUUGCUGGUUUGAGGUGGUCACGGCAAGUGGUGGCCUGUACGGGGAAGAAGCCACUUCCUCUCCCUGAAGUCCAGAACUUGCAGCAGUCAGGGGGUGCACCGGAAAAGUCCUCAAGGAUCAUUUGGACCCUAUUUGGGUACCGGAGCGCUUGGUGAGAAAAGUACAGGUGCAGAGGAAUGAGAAGCAAGAUGAAGCCUCAGACUGUGAUCCUACUGAUGGUGAUGGUCCUGAUGUCCCCGUUGUUGAUCCAGGCCAAUGAACAAAUCUUGU